rnacentral:lncRNA from 1 species
CUGGUCUCGAACUCCCGACCUCAGGCCAUCCACCUGCCCUGGUCUCCCAAAGUGCUGGGAUUACAGGCGUGAGCCACCACACCCGGCCCUUGGGAGGUUCUUCCACUGAUCACAAGCACUGGGUCACACCCUGUCAGAGGCAUGGGGCUCCCUUACACUCGGGACAGCAGGGAAGAGGGUGAGGCUGGCCCCGCCUGGCCCUGGGCACACACUGCCCACCGGGACCCCAGACCAACUCUCACCCGGGCAGGAGGUUCCAGCCUGUGCCCUGCACCCUGCUGUGUAACCUGGGCACCCAUGAAGGCAGCCUCUCCCUAGUUAUCCAGGCACUCAGCCCCUGUGUAUGACGGGGUCCAUGAUUCGUGGGCACCAGGCACAGUGAGGACUGGAUAAUCGGGGCCCACCCUCAGGCCUGGAGGCUGCGAGCCCCUGUGCAGGGUCAUCGCCGGCGCGGGAAGAGCCCAAGGGAACAGGUGCAAUGGGAACCCAACGGCUGGUAUCUCGGGGAAAUCUGAAGUGAGCCCAGGAAGGUGGCCGAGGCUCAGAGCCGGGGCAGGAACCCGUGCAGGGGUAGAGAAGGAGGCAGGGACAGCUGGACCAGGACUGGAGGCAGGACAGAAGUCUGUGCAUGGGAAUUGGGGCGGGGGACACAGGAAGGUGGGGUGGGGGCUUCCAGCAGGGGAGAUUUCUCAGCUUCCCCAGGAGGGAAGGAGAAGAGGGAGCCGGGCCUCCCGAUUCUUCCCCCAACCUCCUGCCUCCGCGUGCAGGCAGGGCUGCCCCAGCUGGAGUCUCCAGCACAAGGUGAACCUGCUGCUGAGCCCCUGCCCUCCCUGCAGACCUUGCGGGGAGCUGGGCUCCCGGCUGGCUGUGCCCUUGCUGUGUGACGGUGGGCAAGGGCCUGCCCUCUCUGUGCUCCUGCCCCGUCUGGUUCUGUGAGCUCCAUGGGAACAGGGCUACCACCCACCAACCCACUGCAAUGCAGAUAGAGGCUGGGACUCGGGGAGGCUCCGCCAUGGCCCUAAGCGGGGGUCCUGCUGGCCUGCAGACUCUGCCUCCCAGAGCCCCUCACCCCGCCCCCACCCACCAUCAGCUCCGUCUGGAAUCGACACACUUCCUUCUGAGAAGUGAUGCAUGGCUUCCCCGUCAGAUUUACAAAUAACUUCAAAUUUUACCGUUUUCUUUCCCUAAUGAAUUCUCUGAAGCGUGUUCCAGGCUCCCCGGUAAUGAGCAGGAUGCAGAGGCCUCCGUGCAGCUCUGUCUCCCGGCCUGCCUCGGCGAGGCCCUGCUGAAUUAGCCCAGCCCCUCCCGGCGCGCAGCCCGGGUGCACCCUCGUUUAGUGCCCUUGGUGGGAAUCCAUUGUAUUGACAAUCUCCACUGGUGUAAUUCCUGCAUUAGGAUUUUGUGCUAAACUGUGUUUUAAAAGCGCUCUGACCCCGAUUACCUCUUUAAUUGCACUUAAAAAUCCAGAUUAAUUCAGAGGCGAAGUCAGCCACGCUGGGAAGGGGGCCUUGCUGGGCCCACACCACGGAUGGUUCCCCGGUUUCUGGAGAUGGCCGGUUCCCCAGGGUGGUCUCUCUGCACCGCCUCGAACUCUCAGGAAGCCUCGCUUGGAGCUGCCGGGAAAACCUCUAGCUCUGGGAGACCUGGAAGAGAAUAAGAGCGUCUCAGGAGCGCUGAGCUGGUGCUGGCUUCGCGAGCCACGCCACGAAGCCAGGUAAACACAAUUGCUGCUGUUCUCAUUUUAUAGGUGGGAAAGUUGAGGCCCAAGACUAUCUCCAGCCCCGAGAUCAGCAAGUGGGUGGGUGGAGCUGGGGCAGCUGUGGCUGAGCCUGCUGGGCCCCCAGAAGAGGCUGGGUAGGGCUUUCCGUGGCCUCUGGUCCUUCCUGCCAUUCUUGGACCCCAAAGGGGCUCCAGGGUCCUCCAGUCCCACUCUCCCAUGUUACAGGUGGGGAGACUGAGACCCACCAGCCACGGCUGUCACUGGGCCCAUGGAGAGGUGGUACGCCGGCCGAGGCCAGCUGGGGAGGCCUGUCUCCGUGAUAAACACCUGCCCCUCAUCCUGCAUGCUGGCUGUCCACGGAAUGAGUGGGGACCUGGGGGCCGACCAGGCUGGUCCCAGCCCUGGCUCCUCUCCUGACUGCCUUGGACGAGCCCCCUCCCCUCUUUGAGCCUCAGUUUCUCCAUCUGAACAAUGGAAUCCUGAUCCUGAGCUUGCAGGUCUGUUGGGAGACGCGGAUACAGCACCUGGUGGUCUGUGCGUGGCAUCAGGGGACUCGGGGGCCACUGCCCUGGCUGUGAUUCCUGCCCCAUUCUGCCCAGCCCCGGGCGGGGGUCAGUGAGGUGCUCCAAGCCCUUGGGGUUAUCACGAGGCAUCCGGCCCUACAGCACAACAGAUGUUUUUUUUCCUUUCACCUUCACCUCGUUUGGAGACAAUAAUACUUCUACGAACAUGUGUGCACAGG